GUGAAAUUGUUGAAAGGGAAACGAUUGAAGCCAGUCGUACCUUCGGGUGAUCAGCCUUUCGGGUGCGAUUAUGUGGAGUGUGAGGAGCUUAAACACCUUCAUGUUUUGCAUAUUCGUACUCUUGGGUGUACUUGCCCGUGUGGUUGGUUAACAUCAAUUUUGGUGGUCAUAAAAUGACUGGAGGAAUGUAGCUUCGAUCUCGUAUUGAAGUGUUAUAGCCUUCGGUAGAUGUGAUGAUCGAGAUUGAGGAUUGCAACGGAUACCCUUCGGGGCUAACCGCCUGAUCUCUAAUUGGUGUUGGGUUACGGACAGCAUGCUGACCGUGAUCUAAUUACUGGUUAAAAGGUUAGAGCGUGUAUAAAUUCGUUAAGGACACUGACGUAAUGGCUUUAAACGAC
rnacentral:rRNA from 1 species